GUCAGAGUAGAUGAAUUUUGAGUUUAACAUACUUUCAUCAUUUGAUGAUGAAAAAUUACUAGUAAUUUUUUGGCAGAUUAAGCAUAACAUCAUGGUCUUUUUUUCUCAUUUCCAAAUGCUUAUAAUCAAAUAUUCUGCUAUGAAUAUAAAAUUCAAAAUUUAAUUGCCUCUGCACUGGCCGUAAAAUGUGGAACUUGAGAAUGCAAAUUCAUUCAGCGAAUAAAGGAUUCAAUUAAAGAGCCAUGUCAGGUUGCAUACAGACACAGAUAUAUGAGCACUGUGCAUUUGCAUGGUAUUGUACUGAUCUAAUGAUAAGAAACAUCUAUUGAUACGAGCUUCCAUUUUUUUUCUAGUGAUAGAAGUAACAAUGUAAUAAAUCAUAUAAUUUCCAAGAGCUAUACUGAAAUACAUUUAAUGUUAUACAAAAUCGUAAGAAAUUCAUAUGCUCUGUGAAAAAAUGAAUUUUGCAACUGUGUCAAUUGAUGGUCCUAACUUUUCUCCUCUGCCAAAUAAAUCAAUGUGCAGCUGCACCCUAUUCCCAGACUAUCUCAUAUAUUGAUAUAAUGUUCUCAACACUCAGCAGGAAAAUGAUGCACCAUUCCAGAAGAUCUGACCGUCUGUUUUGAAUUACCUCUUGAAGGAAAUGAAUGUUAUGCUCCACAAAUUUUAAUUUGAAAUCCAAAUUCCCAAAGCGUUGAGUGACCUCAUACUCCUCCCUAAGGUACUCAUAUAUUUGAGCAUAUUUUGCAUCUCUCCAAGCAAUUUCAGAUCUCUCAAAAAGGCCAACUUUGAGAAUUACAUCAGCUAGAUUUGAAUUUGCCUUUCCAACUAGUUGAAGGAGCUUCUUCCUAUCCAUAGUGAAAGUUCCAGUUUUUUCCAUUGCACGAUUUAUGCAGGCAAACUCUUCGACCAUUCCAUCAACCUGUGACACGAAAUAGUCCAGAGCAAUGCUUUGUCCAAGUACACUUCCAAUAAUGCGAAUACUGUCAGUAUCUAAAGUUUUAAGAACAAUGUAGUCUGGACCUCCCUGCAUAUCCUCAACUAGAAAGGGUUUCUCUUUUAUGGCAUAAUCUAACACAAGGAGACAUCAACAGCCAAGCAGAAAGUCAUACUUCUAAAGAGCUAUGCAAAAGUAUUGUAGUCAGAAUGCAAACAAUUAUGGAACCAAAUCAGCAAAUCCAGAAUAUAAAAGUCAACAGAUAAAGCGUGGGUUUGAAGAUCAUUUUAGAAUACGAUGAAAGGAAAAAAGGGAAAUAGAAAAGCAAAUACAUAUUAUAUUUAGACAUCAAUACAAAUGUGCUAACUUUUCCACUUCAAAGGUCAUAAAAUAUAAAAUGUUUUCAAAGAAAAUUACCAUCUUUCCUCAUCUCUGGAAGUAAUCCAGAAGCAUGUCUUCUUACUAUCUCUAGAUAACUUUCAACUUCAUGGUCCUCAAUGUUAAAGAGAACAGCAGAUCCAUAUUGGAAUACAACCAUAUAUCGAGAGCUGAUAUAAUCCUUGACUCCAAGUGCCUAAAUCAUAGAUGCACAUUAUUACAAUGACCAUUAAAAUUAAUCAUAAUGAAAGGCAUGAUUAUGAUUUUGGAAGAUUUUUCUAUAUUAUACAAUCAGGAUAUAAUCUCAGGUUAAAUCCAUUUACAACAUCUUUAGCAGACCCUGUACAUACCACUACAACACUAGUCAUAAAUACUGGAUGUAAGAUAGACUAGGAAAACGAAAACAUCAGUCUUAUUCAAUGUAAUUUUAAUCACCAAAUAACAAGCAUGUGAUUAAAAUAAAACUUAAAGGGAUGACAUGAGCUGAGUUACAGACUGAUCCAAUAUUCCAAUUCACCAUCUGAUCAGCCAAAAUUCAUCAAAACAACACAACAAUAAAACAAAGCUUAUUUUGUAUAAAAUAGGAAAAAAAGAAAAGCUUCUACGCUCCCAUAAUUUCUUAAAAUCAGAAAAAAAAAUCAAAACAAUAAAGCCAUCAGCCAUGUGCUACAAGAACACAACAAAAUGACCUCAUAACUUUUAUAGAUAAAAAGCUAAAUACCCAAAAGCAAGAAACCUUAAUAGAUACUACAGACAAAGUAGUUAACCAAUCAGAAGGAUUGAAUUCUCUCUUGAUCAUCUUACUGUAAUUUCCGAAGGAAAACUGCAAUAUCUGAGGGCAAUAUAAUUUGUUGAACGAGAUGUAGGAGGAACAACAUUGCACAAAUUCUCGGCUUGCAUCCUCUUCAAAUCAAUACUGCCAAAACCAUGAAUCUGGUACAGAGGAAGUAUGCUUUAACAGGAAUUUUUCCAAUCUCCUCGUCUUCCUUAGGUCCCAGAACGUAAUUGAGAACCGAAUCAUGAGGCACAUAUUCAAUAUCAUUGCUAUAAACCGAAACUCGAGAUGGGAUUGCGGAAAAUGACCUGAAACAGAAGGUAUGAACCCCGCGGCUAAAAGGGUAUGAGAAGUGGCGAGCGUUUGGUACACAUGAAAGGAAAUUAGGCAUAGGCAAAAAGGAAUUAAUGGUUUUUGUGGUUGCUAUGUGAUUGAGGAGAAGAGAAGCAGUAGCACGCCAUCUACCCAUUCACCUAGGAAAGGAAGCAGCUUAUCUAGAUAGGAUCUUCUUCGAAAUCAAGCCAACUCUCAAGGAAAGCCAGAGCUUUCUUCUGCGAUGGAUUCAUGCCUUUCCCUCGUUUGGCAUCUCGCAGUCCCGCCAGCCACAACUGCGUCUUCACGCUUCUAAUUUAGAAGGCGUAAUACUUUGUCCAAG
rnacentral:misc_RNA from 1 species